rnacentral:rRNA from 1 species
UACAGAGGGGGCAAGCGUUAUUCGGAAUUAUUGGGCGUAAAGGGCGCGUAGGCGGCUUUGCAAGUGACGGGUGAAAGCCCUCGGCUUAACCGAGGAACUGCCUGUCAGACUGUAAGGCUUGAGACCGGGAGAGGUGAGUGGAAUUCCCAGUGUAGCGGUGAAAUGCGUAGAUAUUGGGAGGAACACCAGUGGCGAAGGCGGCUCACUGGACCGGAACUGACGCUGAGGCGCGAAAGCGUGGGGAACAAACAGG